rnacentral:rRNA from 1 species
UACGUAGGGUGCAAGCGUUGUCCGGAAUUAUUGGGCGUAAAGAGCUCGUAGGCGGCUUGUCGCGUCGGCUGUGAAAUUUCGGGGCUCAACCCCGAACUUGCAGUGGGUACGGGCAGACUAGAGUGUGGUAGGGGAGACUGGAAUUCCUGGUGUAGCGGUGAAAUGCGCAGAUAUCAGGAGGAACACCGAUGGCGAAGGCAGGUCUCUGGGCCAUAACUGACGCUGAGAAGCGAAAGCAUGGGGAGCGAACAGG